rnacentral:rRNA from 1 species
AUUGAACGCUGGCGGCAUGCCUUACACAUGAAGUCGAACGGUAACAGGUCUUCGGAUGCUGACGAGUGGCGAACGGGUGAGUAAUACGUCGGAACGUGCCUAGUAGUGGGGGAUAACUACUCGAAAGAGUGGCUAAUACCGCAUGAGAUCUACGGAUGAAAGCAGGGGAUCGCAAGACCUUGUGCUACUAGAGCGGCCGAUGGCAGAUUAGGUAGUUGGUGGGAUAAAAGCUUACCAAGCCGACGAUCUGUAGCUGGUCUGAGAGGACGAUCAGCCACACUGGGACUGAGACACGGCCCAGACUCCUACGGGAGGCAGCAGUGGGGAAUUUUGGACAAUGGGCGCAAGCCUGAUCCAGCAAUGCCGCGUGCAGGAUGAAGGCCUUCGGGUUGUAAACUGCUUUUGUACGGAACGAAAAGCCCUGGGUUAAUGCCCUGGGGUCAUGACGGUACCGUAAGAAUAAGCACCGGCUAACUACGUGCCAGCCGCCGCCGUAA